UGGGGAAUAUUGCACAAUGGGCGCAAGCCUGAUGCAGCCAUGCCGCGUGUAUGAAGAAGGCCUUCGGGUUGUAAAGUACUUUCAGUCGGGAGGAAGGUGUCAAGGUUAAUAACCUUGGCAAUUGACGUUACCGACAGAAGAAGCACCGGCUAACUCCGUGCCAGCAGCCUCGGUAAUACGGAGGGUGCAAGCGUUAAUCGGAAUUACUGGGCGUAAAGCGCACGCAGGCGGUUGAUUGAGUCCGAUGUGAAAUCCCCGGGCUUAACCCGGGAAUUGCAUCUGAUACUGGUCAGCUAGAGUCUUGUAGAGGGGGGUAGAAUUCCAUGUGUAGCGGUGAAAUGCGUAGAGAUGUGGAGGAAUACCGGUGGCAAAGGCGGCCCCCUGGACAAAGACUGACGCUCAGGUGCGAAAGCGUGGGGAGCAAACAGG
rnacentral:rRNA from 1 species